UCAUCCCACUGUCGCAGAGAACAUCUUUAAUGUUUUUGGCCGUCAUUUUUUCUCCUCCAUACAGAGGACUUUGUGGAUCCAAAGAAAAGCCACCUCAAUAGAGUUCUCAGCUCGGGGGUGGCUCUGCAGCCAAGGCAGGCCUUGGAGGAGGGCUCUCCCGGUUGCUGGAAAAAUCAUGCAAAGCUUCCUUGGGAUUCAGGUCAAAGCACCAAUGACAAGGGAGCUUCAAGAGAUGGAGCCAACAUGCAUUGAAGUCCCUGGGAGAUGGAACCUUAAGGACUCAGGAAAAGCUGGAAGUAUGUCCGGAGCAGAGAACUGAAUAGCAUCGGGGGAGGCUAAUGUGGCUGGAGGAGGAAACAACGUCCAAUCCAUAUAGAAAUGGAUACUCUUGUGGAAAAACAGACUGGCCAAGGUUUGUCAAGUACAAAGUGUCCCAUUUGACUGGACAUUGACCCCCUGGAAUGUGUGGCUGUGAGUAAAAAAAAAAGCCUUGGGGGAUACCUAUGGAGGGAUACCAGAUGGUAAGCUGCGGGAGAGGGCUGAAUCUAAGCAUCCGGUGUUCCUGAGAAUCCUGGAUUUGGGCCAUGCCUUUGGAUUGCUUUGGGUCUGGGAGGAGCCUUGAGUAGGCCUCCUUAUAGUUGUUUAUUGAGCCAACAAUAUAGUUGUUUUAAUGUAUUUGAUUUUUAUUCUUUUUUGCUCCUUUAUGAGUAAAGAACUGAAUAUAGUCAAACCAUAUUGGUGUGAAUGACUCCAUGGAAAUGCAGAAAGGAAAGGAAGAGGAGGAAGUUUCCUGGUCAAUAGAGGCACCACAAAUUAUCCAGGUCUAAUUAGAUAAAUCAAAAACACCACAUCUCUGGACUGACAAGGUGAGCACUGAUACCCACAAAAAGAAUGGACCGGGGGAUAGCAUAGCCAGCUCCCUGAGACCCAGAGCAAGCCCUCGGGUUCUGGGGACAUCCUCUCAGGGUGAGCAUGUGACUGCCAGUGUUUGGGCUUAUUACUGAACAAGAUCAGUCAACUGGGCAUCAGCACCCUCUGGCGGCUAAAUGUGGGGGCCCGUUAGAGUGUCAUACUUAUGGAACGCAGGAGUUCAAAAUAUUUUGGAAUUCUCACAGAUCACUGGGUUCAAUGAGGCAG
rnacentral:lncRNA from 1 species